rnacentral:hammerhead_ribozyme from 1 species
AUCCAGCUGACUAGUCCCCAAAAGGACGAAAUGCGCGUCCUGGAU